GAUGAACGCUGGCGGCGUGCCUAAUACAUGCAAGUCGAGCGAACGGACGAGAAGCUUGCUUCUCUGAUGUUAGCGGCUGACGGGUGAGUAACACGUUGAUAACCUACCUAUAAGACUGGGAUAACUUCGUGAAACCGGAGCUAAUACCGUAUGAUAUUUUGAACCGCAUUGUUCAAAAGUGAAAGACUGUCUUGCUGUCACUUAUAGCUGGAUCCGCGCUGCAUUAGCUAGUUGGUAAGGUAACGGCUUACCAAGGCAACGAUGCAUAGCCGACCUGAGAGGGUGAUCGGCCACACUGGAACUGAGAAACGGUCCAGACUCCUACGGGAGGAAGAAGUAGGGAAUCUUCCGCAAUGGGCGAAAGCCUGACGGAGCAACGCCGCGUGAGUGAUGAAGGUCUUCGGAUCGUAAAACUCUGUUAUUAGGGAAGAACAUAUGUGUAAGUAACUGUGCACAUCUUGACGGUACCUAAUCAGAAAGCCACGACUAACUACGUG
rnacentral:rRNA from 1 species